UGUAUAGGACCAAGAUUUUGUAAGUGACUGAAUCAGAUUGAUCAUGGUGCACUCUGUUUUUUUUGUUUUUUUUUGGAGAUGAACAAGAGACUGAAGAAGAAGAAGUCAAAGACUGUUGAGGAAUUUGGUAAAUUGUGUUUGUCUAAGCCAUGGUUUUAUAUGAGGUGAAAGAAAAGAUUACCUAAAAUGCUAAAACCAAGUGCCGGUGCAAGAACUUUACUUGGAAAAGUCAGGCAAAAAGUAGAAAAGAGGAUAAAAAUAGACUAAUGAGGAAAAUCUACAAAGGGGUUAAAAUGGACUAAUGAAGAAAAUCGACUUGACCGUAAUUUGGCCCUCCACUUUCUCUGUCGGUUUCAGACAAAUGUCAUUGCAUCAAAAGGUAUAUGCAGAGGAUGAAGAGUUGAACAAGGCAAAGACUCUUUAGUAUUACCGUGGAAACUGGACGAUGUUGAUGAUGGAAAAGAAGGAGACGAUUUCAUGGUAAAGAACAUUUUCAUACUCUGAAAAUGACUUAUGGAAAUUGUUUAUGUAAAGUUGCUGGAGACAGAUCAAGACUUUUAGGGCGCUCAAGUUUUUACUUUCUACCUUCUCUCUUGAGCUCAUUAGGAAGUAAGCAAACCGGAGUUGCAACCUGGUAGGCGCAAAUUCCACCAGUGGAUUUACAUUCUUUACACGGAUAAUGAAGAUGAGGGUUGCAGAGGUAGUAAGCGGAGAGGGUCUUGUAGUCCGGCAAAAGCUCAAAGAGUUCAGGAGCCAACGUUGCACC